UUAGAGUAAUAAACCGCUUCCCGCUCGUCUGACUCUCUUACUAUCUUCGCUUUCUACAAUCUAUAACACCCUUAUCUCUUUACCCACACAUUCAUCUCUACUGCUAGAUCGGUCUUCCUAUGCAUUUCCUCUAUGUCGUCUCAGACUCUCCUACCCUAACCUGAACUCUCUCUCCAUCAUGCCCAAAAGUUAGCUAGAGACGGAGGGGACGGAGGGGGUACGUAAAGGUUUUUGAGAAGCGCUUCACACGACUACUACUACAGCUCGUCAUCU
rnacentral:lncRNA from 1 species